UGCGAUAUAGUCAAAUGGUAUGACAAAAGAUUGCAAAUCUUUUAUUUCCAGUUCGAAUCUGGGUGUCGCGU
rnacentral:tRNA from 1 species